ACUUUUUGCACUGCUGUAAUUUUGGGAAGAAAAAUCACUGUUUAAAUGUAUGUUCUUACUCCUUUAAGGAUUGUUCUACUGACAGGAUCUGCCAGGCAUGCUUGGAAUCUGGAAGUACAUGUUACUUAGCUAUUGUUCAGCAUUAAAUUAUUACUCAUGACUUAUGAAAGGUGAACUAAGACUGUUCUGACUGCACUUGUUGACAUGUGGGUAAUUGUGAAGAGUUUCUAUGUUCCAUCUGAAUUUCUUUUUUCAUCUUUAACGAAGAUGCUUGAAAAUUGUUUAAUUUGCUUCCUCUUUUUCAUUGAGGGGGUUAAAGUAAUCUAGUUGCUGCUGUAAUGCUUUUUAUAGUGGAAAAAGUAGUGGUGAAGGCAAGAAAUCGGUCUCAAAGCAUUUGUUUCAACUACAACCUGUGAAAUUUGGGAGGUUGCUUUGGGAGGCUGUUAUAAAAAUCCUCUUCAUUUGUAUUGAAUAAACAUGAUAUGCUGCCCUUGAUUUA